rnacentral:rRNA from 1 species
UUAAAUUGAAGAGUUUGAUCAUGGCUCAGAUUGAACGCUGGCGGCAGGCCUAACACAUGCAAGUCGAGCGGUAGCACAGAGAGCUUGCUCUCGGGUGACGAGCGGCGGACGGGUGAGUAAUGUCUGGGAAACUGCCUGAUGGAGGGGGAUAACUACUGGAAACGGUAGCUAAUACCGCAUAAUGUCGCAAGACCAAAGUGGGGGACCUUCGGGCCUCAUGCCAUCAGAUGUGCCCAGAUGGGAUUAGCUAGUAGGUGGGGUAACGGCUCACCUAGGCGACGAUCCCUAGCUGGUCUGAGAGGAUGACCAGCCACACUGGAACUGAGACACGGUCCAGACUCCUACGGGAGGCAGCAGUGGGGAAUAUUGCACAAUGGGCGCAAGCCUGAUGCAGCCAUGCCGCGUGUGUGAAGAAGGCCUUCGGGUUGUAAAGCACUUUCAGCGGGGAGGAAGGCGUUAAGGUUAAUAACCUUGGCGAUUGACGUUACCCGCAGAAGAAGCACCGGCUAACUCCGUGCCAGCAGCCGCGGUAAUACGGAGGGUGCAAGCGUUAAUCGGAAUUACUGGGCGUAAAGCGCACGCAGGCGGUCUGUCAAGUU